rnacentral:lncRNA from 1 species
GUGUGAAGCACAUCCAUAAAAGCUAGCUGUGUUUUAAAGAAGUUAUGAGAUUUCAAGUAUGCAUAGCUGAUAUAGUAAUGUAACUGAAUUGCUCUAAUAAUAAACUUAACAUUUCUUUCAAUCCUAUAUAGAUUUUGGUCCUUUCUCUACUUCCUGUUGAUAGAAGUAGAAUAUUGAAAUACAAGGAAAAUUAAAAUGGCAGCAUUGACCAAGAAUAUUGCUAUCAUAUGAGAAUGUUUCAGUGGUACCUCCUUGCCAAUGCAUUGAUUUCUCUUUGCUUAUCUUGAUUUUAUAAUUCAGAUGUAUUUUAUGCUUCAUUAUUAAUGAUAGGUGUAGAGUCUUUCUUAUUAGUUCUUGGAUUUUCUAUCUAAGAAAAUUUUGUGAAACAGUAUAUACUAUAACAUUUGAGAACAUUUUCAUAGUUUCUUUUCAUAAAAUAGCAUAAUUAUCACUAUACUUUUAGAUUUUAAUUCCAAAUCUUUAAUUCAACUAAAAUGACAUCAUUUUAUUUUAUUUAUGUAUUUAUUUUGGUGAGGAAGAUUGGCCCUGAGCUAAUAUCUGGUUCCCAUCUUCCUCUUUUUGCUUGAGGAACAUUGUCCCUGAGCUAACAUCUGUGCCAAUCUUCCUCUAUUUUGUAUGUGGGAUGCUGCCACAGCAUGGCAUGAUGAGCAGUGUGUAGGGCCGUGCCUGGGAUCUGAACCCAGGAACCCUGGGCCACCAAGGUGGAGCAUGUGAACUUAACCAGUUUGCCACCAGGCUGGCUCAACAAUCAUUUUAGAGACCAUUUCUUUAAUCAUUGUGUUUUUUAUCCUGUUUCCUUUUUCAGGACCAGGGUUCUGAUCAAGCAGGAAAGGAGAAAGCAAAAGCACUUCAUGAAGUGAACAGUCUUCUUUCAGAGAACUGCUGCCCGUUCCCUUCAUCUUGAAACAAGCUCUUCCCUUGCUUCCUUUGACACAUUCUUAAGAUUUUAUUUGUCUCCCUGGCUGCUCCUUUUAAAUGUC